UUGUCUUUAUCCUUCUCAUGAGGGUCACAGGGAGCCUGAGCCAAUCCGAGGUCAUGGUCACUAACCCGGGUGUUUUUGCUGUAAGACAACGGUGCUAACCACCGCUCCACCGUGUGGCCCGGAUUCAGCUGGAAAGACUCACGCAAAAGUCCAGCUGAACCUCCUCCUCAGGAAAUACGCUCAAAAGAGCCUGGACCUCGUCGUCUGUCCACUUGUCGUCUUGUUUAAAGGUGGGUUGCAGCCACGCUGGUUUAAACAGCUGCAAAAUGUGUUCUACCAAUCAGCGUUCUUCAGCACACAGCCCCGCCCCUCUAAAGUUCUGAAAACAAUGAGAAACACCUUGGUGCAUGGGGGAGAAUCGCUGACCAUCGAAGACGGAGCAUUGGGACUCAUCACUUCAUAUCAGGACACAAUGGGUUAGAGCAAGAAUGAAGCCAGUGAGAGCAAAUGAUUUGGAUUCGUGCCCUGCUGCAUUAGAUACUUGGAGAGCUGGAUAACGUCUGUGCGAUGAAUAGCCAUCUCCAAUCUGACCUCGAGUGACCCAGCACAUUAUGUGUUCAGGUGGGAGGUGAUGCAUCAGCUCGAGCAGGCGUCUUAUUAGCCGAGCGCUAACAGGCAGCCUGUGUUCCCAUGGGGGCUGAAUGCUGCUGAGUCAUCCGCUACAAGCUAAACAACCAUGAUGCAGCGGGGGCUGCAGUGUGAAAGCUGACAAAUUUCGCCACCAAGCCAAAGCUGUAAAGAAAAAAGAAAGAAGGAAAAAAAAGUGACCUACAUUGGCUGCUGGGGGAAAAAAAAAAGACUCAUCUGCAAGUGGCCCGUUUCUCUGCAGCGUCCAUCUUGGGUUUUUACCCCGAGGCCAGUGGGAUGUGAACGGUGCUGUCUCUCUCUACAUGGGAUCUUUUGUCCUCUCCACCUUCUCAAUAAUUCAAUGGAAAGAGGAGACAUCAGCUCUGGUAUAAUUACUGUGUGAGUGUGACAAGCUCCUCUGUCAAGGGCAAGAUGAGGCCGAGCUUUACGGUGCUGGAGAAGGCUAAAAGACACAGUAAUAAUCUGUACCAUGAAGGUACAGCUACUGGGACAUGAUGAAACUGCAGGUACUCCGGAAAAGGUCUGGACUAAAACGUAUCAAGUCUCUUGCUGUAGGAGGGAUGACAUUAGAUCACUGAAGAGGUUCCCUGACUGUCUGUGACUCACGAUGUAAAAGCCUGAGCUGAUCCAAGACCAGCACCGAUAAUGAAACACUUAAUUAUGUUUUCUGAAUCAAAUUCCAAAAAACAUUCAAAGCAUGAAGAAUGAUCCAAGCAUUCAAGGAUUACAGCCCAGAGGAAAACAUUCAGCAGCUGAGGAGCUUCAGCGCAGACCAGACUUCUGCAGUGCACUUCUCACCUGGAUUCCCAGCAAUAGUCUUCAAUGACUACAGUGAAUUAAGAGCUCUCUGUCCUGAUCUCCGCUCAUCAGAUAAACAUGCAACAAACGCGUUUGAUUCAUCGCUUCUCUUCAUCUCUGAAAGUCUCUGCUGACAGUGACGUGUGUUGUGUUGCAUUCAUUGUAUGACCAACACUGUGGAUGUUAAGGAGUGUGUGAGCUGUUUGUGUGUUCAUGAAUACUUGUGACUAAGAUGACGAUCAUCAUUUUAUGACACAUUUAUGCUGAAAACACUUAAUUCUAGUCUUAAUUCUAUGUUUUAUUGUCUCUUUUUUUUGCUCAUUCUUGCUCUGUAAAUGCUUUUCUUAAUGUAAUUGUGCCGUCAAUUAAAUGAGUUUAUUCUUUGUCUUCUUUAAUAGUUCAUCUU